GUCAUUCGCUAUGCAUAUCCAAUAGAUUACAAAUCUCAAUUUCACGGCUUUUGUGUGUCAUAGUGUGGUGCCAAGGUAUACUAAUUAUGAUGUUGUUGCGAUUUUAAAUUGUUGCUUCCACCUACCUAACCAUCACAUCAAGCUAUGAUAAUAUAAUUUGAAAAAAAAGUUUCAAGUAUAAAUUUAAAAGUAUCAAACCAAAGCCAGAAGGUUAGUGUAGGUGGGAGUAAAGCUGACUUAAUUCAAUUUAAACAAUCAUUAAACAAUGACGAUGACAGGGUUAGCAGAAAAUAUUACUGAAAGAACCAAUCAGCCAAUUGUGAAGGAACAGAAAAGGAUUGGUUUCAUAAAUUAUUCGGCAAUUUUAUUCGUCAGAGUUUUCGAUUGGCUUUUGAAUUCAAGGUUAUUUAUAUGAAUGUGAAACUUUUGUUUAUGAAUAAAUUUUGUUCAUUAUAUGAAUGUCGGAAGUGACAUUAAA